UUGGUUAAGUUAGAAAGGGCGCACGGUGGAUGCCUUGGCACUAGGAGCCGAAGAAGGACGGGACUAACACCGAUAUGCUUUGGGGAGCUGUACGUAAGCGUUGAUCCAGAGAUUUCCGAAUGGGGGAACCCACUAUCUUUAGUCGGAUAGUAUCCUUACGUGAAUACAUAGCGUGAGGAAGGCAGACCCAGGGAACUGAAACAUCUAAGUACCUGGAGGAAGAGAAAGAAAAAUCGAUUUCCUGAGUAGCGGCGAGCGAAACGGAAAGAGCCCAAACCAAGAAGCUUGCUUCUUGGGGUUGUAGGACACUCUAUACGGAGUUACAAAAGAAAGUUAUAAAUGAAGCGGUCUGGAAAGGCCCGCCAAAGACGGUAACAGCCCGGUAGUUGAAAUGGCUUUCCCUCCAGAGUGGAUCCUGAGUACGGCGGAACACGUGAAAUUCCGUCGGAAUCCGGGAGGACCAUCUCCCAAGGCUAAAUACUCCCUAGUGACCGAUAGUGAACCAGUACCGUGAGGGAAAGGUGAAAAGCACCCCGGAAGGGGAGUGAAACAGUUCCUGAAACCGUGUGCCUACAAGUAGUUAGAGCCCGUUAAUGGGUGAUAGCGUGCCUUUUGUAGAAUGAACCGGCGAGUUACGAUUUGUUGCAAGGUUAAGCGGAAAAAGCGGAGCCGUAGCGAAAGCGAGUCUGAAUAGGGCGCAUAAGUAACAGGUCGUAGACCCGAAACCAGGUGAUCUACCCAUGUCCAGGAUGAAGGUAAGGUAAUACUUACUGGAGGUCCGAACCCACGCACGUUGAAAAGUGCGGGGAUGAGGUGUGGGUAGCGGAGAAAUUCCAAUCGAACUUGGAGAUAGCUGGUUCUCUCCGAAAUAGCUUUAGGGCUAGCCUCGAGGUAAAGAGUCAUGGAGGUAGAGCACUGUUUGGACUAGGGGCCCUUCUCGGGUUACCGAAUUCAGAUAAACUCCGAAUGCCAUGUACUUAUACUCGGGAGUCAGACUGCGAGUGAUAAGAUCCGUAGUCGAAAGGGAAACAGCCCAGACCACCAGUUAAGGUCCCCAAAUAUAUGUUAAGUGGAAAAGGAUGUGGGGUUGCUUAGACAACCAGGAUGUUGGCUUAGAAGCAGCCACCAUUGAAAGAGUGCGUAAUAGCUCACUGGUCGAGUGACCCCGCGCCGAAAAUGUACCGGGGCUAAACAUAUUACCGAAACUGUGGAUGAACCUCUUUAGAGGUUCGUGGUAGGAGAGCGUUCUAAGGGCGGUGAAGUCAGACCGGAAGGACUGGUGGAGCGCUUAGAAGUGAGAAUGCCGGUAUGAGUAGCGAAAGAAGGGUGAGAAUCCCUUCCACCGAAUAUCUAAGGUUUCCUGAGGAAGGCUCGUCCGCUCAGGGUUAGUCGGGACCUAAGCCGAGGCCGAUAGGCGUAGGCGAUGGACAACAGGUAGAGAUUCCUGUACCAGUGCUAAUUGUUUAACCGAUGGGGUGACACAGAAGGAUAGGGAAUCGCACGAAUGGAAAUGUGCGUCCAAGCAGUGAGUGUGAGAAGUAGGCAAAUCCGCUUCUCGCGAAGCAUGAGCUGUGAUGGGGAAGGAAAUUAAGUACGGAAGUUCCUGAUUUCACGCUGUCAAGAAAAGCCUCUAGGAAGAGUAGUACUGCCCGUACCGCAAACCGACACAGGUAGAUGAGGAGAGAAUCCUAAGGUGAGCGAGAGAACUCUCGUUAAGGAACUCGGCAAAAUGACCCCGUAACUUCGGGAGAAGGGGUGCUCUAUUAGGGUGCAAGCCCGAGAGAGCCGCAGUGAAUAGGCCCAGGCGACUGUUUAGCAAAAACACAGGUCUCUGCAAAACCGUAAGGUGACGUAUAGGGGCUGACGCCUGCCCGGUGCUGGAAGGUUAAGAGGAGUGCUUAGCUUCGGCGAAGGUACGAAUUGAAGCCCCAGUAAACGGCGGCCGUAACUAUAACGGUCCUAAGGUAGCGAAAUUCCUUGUCGGGUAAGUUCCGACCCGCACGAAAGGCGCAACGAUCUGGGCACUGUCUCAACGAGAGACUCGGUGAAAUUAUAGUACCUGUGAAGAUGCAGGUUACCCGCGACAGGACGGAAAGACCCCGUGGAGCUUUACUGCAACCUGAUAUGGAAUGUUUGUACCGCUUGUACAGGAUAGGUAGGAGCCGAAGAGACGUGUGCGCUAGCAUACGAGGAGGCAAUGGUGGGAUACUACCCUGGCUGUAUGACCAUUCUAACCCGCCACGCUUAGCGCGUGGGGAGACAGUGUCAGGUGGGCAGUUUGACUGGGGCGGUCGCCUCCUAAAGAGUAACGGAGGCGCCCAAAGGUUCCCUCAGAAUGGAUGGAAAUCAUUCGCAGAGUGUAAAGGCACAAGGGAGCUUGACUGCGAGACUGACAAGUC
rnacentral:rRNA from 1 species